UUUAAAAGAUGGUUCUGUUAUCACUCUUGGAUGGGACCCUGCGGUGCAUUAGCUAGUUGGUAAGGGCAACGGCUUACCAAGGCAAUGAUGCAUAGCCGAGUUGAGAGACUGAUCGGCCACAUUGGGACUGAGACACGGCCCAAACUCCUACGGGAGGCAGCAGUAGGGGAAUCUUCCACAAUGGACACAAGUCUGAUGGAGCAACGCCGCGUGAGUGAAGAAGGGUUUCGGCUCGUAAAGCUCUGUUGGUAGUGAAGAAAGAUAGAGGUAGUAACUGGUCCUUUAUUUGACGGUAAUUACUUAGAAAAGUCACGGGCUAACUACGUGCCCAGCAGCCGCGGGUAAAUA
rnacentral:rRNA from 1 species